UUUAUAUAUAACAAUAAAUUCACAGAAGGGCGAAUAAUUUUGACUUCAACUGAUAAUCAUUUUGAAUAAUCGUGAUUACAAUUAUGACCAAAAUAAUCGUGAUUAUGAUUUUUUCCCAUAAUAGAGCAGCCAUAACUGUAAUAUAACCGGGCUAGAAUCAUUUGUUUUCUCACUACAAUCGAUCCGCUCCAGAGUUUGUGUCAAUCAAGCUGAGACCACCUCGUUUAAGCGAUCUCUGAGCGAUUGUUUUGGUGCGGAUGCGAGCGUGAUUGGUGGUUUCACAUAUGCCAAACGAACCACGCUAACUGGGCAAACAAGACAGGUUCUGAAACAAAAGUGUAGGUGUGAAAGCACGCUAAGACUCUGAUUUUAAUUUAUAAAGCAGUCCAUAGGCUAGCUCCUGAUUGCAUCAGUGAUCUUGUGACACUUUCCACUCCUGCUCGCAGUCUACUUUGGGUCUUACCCUGUUCCAGCCACGCUUCAGACUUAGCAUCAUGGGUGGUCAGGCUUUUUUCAUAUUGUUUCGUAUCUCAGCAAAAUUAUGGAAUGCAUUACCCAUUAACAUUUGGAAUAUUGUGUCUCUGGACUGUUUAAAGAAGCUUCCUAAGACUAACCUCUUUAGUCGUGUUUUAAUGUGUGAACUGAUGUUAUCGUACUUAUUGUUAUAUUUACCUAUUUAUUGCUUUUACUGUUUUAUUGUUUUUGCCUUGUACACGCUUUGAGUUUGAGAAAAGUGCAUUAAAUUAAAAUAAAAUGUAUUAUAAUUAAAUAUAGUUUAGUCUAAUCUUUCUUUACAUUUUUGUUACUUUCAAACACACAAUUUAAUUACUAAUAACAGUAUUUACUAGUAACAGCAAUACAGAUUAAGUGGUAAUAUUAGAAAUGACCAAUCACCUUUUAGAUGACAAAACGCAGAAGGGAUAAGGCUCACCAUAGCACAAAGAUAAAAAAAAAAAAAAAAAAAAUCUCUGGCUGACUGAUGGACACUGUACUUUGAGUCAACUUAACUUACAGUCACAGUUUUGCAACUGACAUACCUUGAUAAAGCAAGGUGUGAGAUAAUCAAACCUGAAUUCAGGGUAAAUAUGAAGGGCAUUAAAGCUUAGAAUCUGGAUUACCUCUUUAUUGUAACACUGCCUGUUAGAGUCCACCCAGUUGGUCCAGUGGUGGUAUAAUAUCUGGCGGGUGAAGGUUUCUGGCAUUUUUGUCUUUUAGUAAUUUGACUUGAUGACAAUUAUUAUUAUACUUUAUUUAAUUAUGAACAAGGUUUUGAGUUGAAAUGUGAAGUCAUUAAAGUAUCUGAGGUAUUGUAAAUGGUAUUUUAAAUCAUACAUUAACCCAACAAUUAUUUUUACUUUUUUUUUCUCCAGUGACCACCCGAGAACAAGUAACCCAUAGGUACAAACUAGUACUUAAAACAUAUAAAAAGAAUCUAAGCAUUCGGGAUUGCUUAAAAAGGCACAAGGUGGAUAAAUCUACCUUAUCCCUGACAAGUAUAAUUGCACAGAUUAUUGAGUGAUUCAUCAGUGCAAUCAUUCUUGGUGGCAAUUGCUUCAGAGGGAGAAUUAUAUCAAGUUCCAGCAUAUUUAAAUGGAACAACACUCCAGUGCUAUUCAAAAGAAUUACAACAGUUCCUUGUGAAGAAGGAACACAAGCUGUUGCCUAUAAAAAACAAGUUCAGGCGUUGAUCUUUGUUUCUUUGUAUCUUUCUUUCUUCCUUUCAAUUGAGUAAAUAAUUGAGCAGCUUUUUUUUUCCAUCUGUUCAAGUGUAUAUAAUAAUUGUGUGAUAGAAGUUUGUAAGAAAGUUUGUUUAUGAGUUUGUUAAUAAAUGUUAAUAAUAAAUAAUUGUUAUUGAAGUUG